rnacentral:rRNA from 1 species
UACCCCAUACGAUCUUUGAAUAGCAUUAUUUAGAGAAGAAAGUUCCGGCGGUAGAAGAUGGGCAUGCGUCCUAUUAGUUAGUUGGAGAGGUAACGGCUCCCCAAGACAUCGAUAGGUAGGGGUCCUGAGAGGGAGACCCCCCACACUGGUACUGAGACACGGACCAGACUCCUACGGGAGGCAGCAGUGAGGAAUAUUGGACAAUGGAGGCAACUCUGAUCCAGCCAUGCCGCGUGCAGGAAGACUGCCCUAUGGGUUGUAAACUGCUUUUAUACAGGAAGAAAUGUACCUACGUGUAGGUAUUUGACGGUACUGUACGAAU